rnacentral:rRNA from 1 species
GUUACUGCUAUCGGAGUUCGAUUAAGCCAUGCGAGUCUAAAGGUUUCUUCGGAAACCUUGGCGAACUGCUCAGUAACACGUGGAUAACCUACCCUUGGGACUGGAAUAACCCCGGGAAACUGGGGAUAAUACCGGAUAGAUCAGGGAUGCUGGAAUGCACCUUGAUCCAAAGCUCCGGCGCCCAAGGAUGGGUCUGCGGCCUAUCAGGUAGUAGUGGAUGUAAUGUACCUACUAGCCAACGACGUGUACGGGUUGUGAGAGCAAGAGCCCGGAGAUGGAUUCUGAGACACGAAUCCAGGCCCUACGGGGUGCAGCAGGCGCGAAACCUUUACAAUGUGCGAAAGCAUGAUAAGGGAACUCCGAGUGCCAGCAUCUAAUGUUGGCUGUCCUUGUGCCUAAAACGCACAAGAUAGCAAGGGCCGGGUAAGACCGGUGCCAGCCGCCGCGGUAACACCGGCGGCCCGAGUGGUAGCCGCUAUUAUUGGGUCUAAAGGGUCCGUAGCCGGUUCGAUAAGUCCUCUGGGAAAUCUGGUUGCUUAACAAUCAGACUGCCAAGGGAUACUGUCGAACUUGAGACCGGGAGAGGUAAGAGGUACUUCAGGUGUAGGAGUGAAAUCUUGUAAUCCCUGGGGGACCAUCUGUGGCGAAGGCGUCUUUCCAGAACGGGUCUGACGGUGAGGGACGAAAGCUGGGGGCGCAAACCGGAUUAGAUACCCGGGUAGUCCCAGCCGUAAACGAUGCUCGCUAUGUGUCAGGUACGGUGUGACCGUAUCUGGUGCCGUAGGGAAGCCGUGAAGCGAGCCACCUGGGAAGUACGGUCGCAAGACUGAAACUUAAAGGAAUUGGCGGGGGAGCACUACAACGGGUGGAGCCUGCGGUUUAAUUGGAUUCAACGCCGGA